GCAGCUUCAGUUGAACCAAUAGUUGCAGGAGGAGCAGGAAGCAGUAACUGAAACAUAUACAACAUUAAUUCACUAAUAUAGACACAUGAAACUAUAUCCUAAAAGUCAAAACACAAGGAAUUAAAGUAUAUGUACCAUAUUUAGUAUACAAUAUAAUUUAAUUUCAUAUAUAUUACUUCAUAUAAUUAUUAUAGUAAUAAUUAAAUUUAUUAACAAUCGUCAUAGUACAAAAAUAGGGAAGAAAAAAUUAGGUGUUGGUUAAAAGCAGUCAAAAAAAUAUUUUUGUACAAAAUUAAUUCAAAUACUAAGUAAAUCUUGACAGAAUAACCCAAACAAGAAGGAAUUAUAUAACCAACCUGCAGUGUACAAGAAGUAACAGAUAGGCAUUUGAUACUUGAUAAGGAUGCUAACAAACUGAUACAAAAAUUAUCAAUCUGAAUGGCUGAUCAUUUUUUCAAUUGCUCCCUGGAAUGCAUUGAUUUAUCAAAUUAGAUUCAAUACACAGAACAUAAAUGUAAAAUUAAUUAAUAAUAAAACUUACUUGCGUCUCAGAAACAGAUACAGAAGAAUGACCCUGAAAAAGUUUAAAAUUUAAAUGUCAACAAAAUCCAACUGAUUUGUACCAAAAUAGAUCAUCUUCAAACUACAACCAUCUAAAUUGAAAAUUGAUAUAAGGCAUAAUGUGAGUAAUCCUUAGUAAAACUUCAUGUCAGUUUUGCGAUAUAAUUCAGUCAAAAUAAACUUCUCAGCCCAAAAAUAUGCAGCAGUUGUUGCAAAUGUUUUUACAUUACAUAUAUUUAUAAUCCAGUCAAAAUAAACUUCAUGUCAGUUUUCCUACAUAUAGAAAAAGGGAUAGAAAUGACAUCCAUAUUUAGACAUAAGUAAAAGUUUACAAGCUGCAGUAUUUGCAAAAGCUAAUCAUGAAAAUAUUGGUCAACAGAUUGUUGCAGCACAUCAAAAUCUUGUUGUAAAAGAUUGUUGAUAUUAGCAAGAAGUAAACUUUGGCCUCUAGCCUUAACAAGUAAUGUGAUAAGAGAAGUUUCCAACCUAAGUUAAGUGUUAAAAAAUAUAUAUAUAUAUAAUAGGAAAAAGAAAAUGGGGGAAGCAAAUGUUUUAGUUGUUCACAUCUGAGCCUAAGAAUCAAAAGAAGUUUAUAAGAAGAAACUCAUUGACAGACAUUACAGACAAUAGGCUAAAAACAAACAGAUCUGAUAAUAUAUUUUCAUCAAACAUUGAUAAUCAUAUAUAUUUAUAUGUUUAAAUAUUUUGAAUUUGGUAUUUUUAUUUCAAUUCAGGGUUGAUUUUGAGGUAACUUGGGUAAUUUUUUAAAGUAUGUUAUGUUAAUGUUAAAAGUAACUUUUUGUUAUUAAACUGUGUACAAACUUUGAAUCUAUUCAUAUAUAUAUCCCACAUUCCUAAUCAUUACAUAGUAAAAAAGAAAAAUGAAAUUCUAUUCCCAAUAAACACAUUUACUUAAUUUUAUUGAAAUAAAUAAAAUAAUUAAAUCUAUUUUUACACGAGUAUACAAAAAGUAAAAUAUAUAUACAUAUGAUUUCCAGUAAAAUUAAUUUGAUGUUAGAGUUGCUUUGUAGCUUCUUCAAGUAUCCCUUUAGAUCUUAUACUAAUAGAAAGUUGAAUCAGAACUUUUUUCCACAUCUGCCCAGUUAUGCUUAUGUUAAAUGUGAAAUUCAGAUGAUACUAAUGUCUUACAAGUUGUAUCCCAUGAGGCAUGAUGCUAUUUAUAUCAUAAAACACAUGGUGUCACUUCAUCCAAAUAGCUGCUUCUUAAACUAGGUUUGCAUGCAGUUAGUGAAUAAACAGCAAAUUAUUGAGGGAAGAAGAAUAGUAUCUCUUUAAAUGCCAUAGCAUAAAGAAUGGGCACAUCAAGAAACAAUACCAUGAAACCAACAUUUGAAGAAUCAUGUUUAAAUCUAAGCCUCACUGACACACAAGUAUACCAUACUAGAUUUAACCAAUUUUUUUAAAAUCACAAUGAUACCAAUACAAAUAUGUCUUAAUAAUCACAAAGUUUAGAAUCAAAUUUUUACAGUGCAGCACAAACAAACUAAAAACUGGAAUAAUCUAAAUUACAACUGAGUAAUUGAACUAAAACUUGCAACUCAUAGUGGGAUUCAGAUACCCUAUAUACUGAAUUUUGAAUCUAGAUACUUAAAACUCAAACCUCCUCUCUUACCAACUAUGCUAAGACUUUCAUUAAUGGAGAUUUAACAACUGACAUCAAAAUUUAUAUAAAAUAAUUAAUUAAUAUUACACAACCAAAACAUGACUACCUAGACGAUGAGUAGAUCAAGGGUUGCAAAAACAAAAGAAAGCAUCUCAAAACUAGAAGCACCAUUGACAUAGUUAAUUAAACAAGCAUUUAGCAAGUUAGAAACAUUCAAGUACCAUCAGGCCGCAUUAAUCUUUUCCUUAACAGUGGGUUGUGGUCCUGUUCAAAAAAAUAAUAAAAUAUCAGAAAUAUACAAGCUUAAUAAGGUUUUGCCUAUGUUAGCAAAAUAAAACAAGGAGAGAAAGGAAGAUUGAAACAAGAAAAGCAGAAAGACCCAGAAAGCAGGAAUACGUUAAAACAUACCUUGUAAAAUUUGGGUGUCAUUGGGAAUCCAUGGAAAAAGCUAAAUCCAAGAAGAUGCCCCCACUCAUCUAUAGAGACAGUUGAUUUGUUUCCUUCUAAAACCGAGAAGAUGCGCCGGAUAUUGGGAAACUAGGGUAAAAAUUUUAGGGGAGAAGAAGUUGG
rnacentral:lncRNA from 1 species